AAACGAUUCAACAAAAAUAAACCAGUACAAAAGCAAAAACACCGCUACCCGAGAGAGGUCGUUUGUUUGGAUUCUCGACGCCACCGAUAACCCCAUCAGAAGGGAAGGGAGAAACGAAGGGGGGCGAAGAGCGGAAGGAUUAGGGUUUCUCGUGAGAUCGUCGUGGACUCUCGAUCUCUCCUUCCUGCCUUCUUUCUUUCGUCUUCAUUUGUCGGCGUCGUCUCACCUCCGCAACCCUGGGGCGGGGAAGCUCCCGAUCGAGCCCCUGGAGUUGCGCCGAUUGGCUUCGCGUCAUGGCCGGCAUGGAGCUCGAUUCGCCGCGGGACACCGUGUUGUCUCCGAGAGAUCGCAUCGUCCAGAGACUUAUCACCAAUGGUGUUCCCUCCGAGGUGUUAGAGCAGUCUCAAAUGGGGCUUAUAUCAUAUCUCAAGGAAAACAAACCUAUGUAUCCCGUGUUGGUCUCUUCCAUCUUACCAACCGAAGAUGAUUUGUCGGAGCUGCGAAUCUCAUCAGAUGUGUCCAGCAGUGGCAACACUGAGGAUCUGUUUUGUGAGAGUAUGUCGUGGCUAGGGUGGUUGAUGUUCGAAGCUGAACCACAAUCAUCUCUUGAGAAUUUGGCAUCAGAAGCUGUUGGUCAGCGUGCUGUGUGUGGAGCCGUUUGGGGUCAGAAUGACUUGGCCUAUCGCUGCCGCACAUGCGAGCAUGAUCCAACCUGUGCUAUAUGCGUUCCAUGUUUCCAGAAUGGCAAUCACAAGGAUCAUGAUUACUCAAUUAUGUAUACAGGUGGCGGAUGCUGUGACUGCGGAGAUGUGACAGCCUGGAAACGUGAAGGAUUCUGUUCCAAGCACAAAGGAACUGAGCAGAUGCAACCUUUACCAGAAGAGUUGGCAAAUUCCAUCAGGCCUGUUCUAGAUGUUCUUCUCGUACUCUGGAAGGACAAAUUAAUACUCGCUGAAAACCAGAGGAAUCCAAGGGAACAUAACAAAACUGAUGUGUCUGCAGGGAUGGGGAAUAGGUUAUCUUCUGCAGUUAUUGAGAUGUUGCUGGACUUCUGCAAAUGUAGCGAAAGCCUUCUUAGUUUCAUAUCAAAGAAAAUGUUUGAGUGUACCGAUUUGCUCGAUGUUCUUGUGAGGGCAGAGAGGUUCUUGCACAAGAACGUUGUGAAGAAGCUACAUGAAUUACUUCUAAAAUUGCUUGGGGAGCCUGUUUUUAAAUAUGAGUUUGCUAAAGCUUUUACGAGAUAUUAUCCUGUUUCUGUAAGUGAAAUUAUCAAAGAGUGGACUGUUAAAGCAUUUGAGAAGUAUUCGCUACUAUCAACAUUCUCUGUGCAAUUGUUCACUGUGCCUACGUUGACACCACGACUUGUACGAGAGGUGAACCUGCUGGGUGUACUUUUGGGAUGCUUGAAGGACCUGUUCCUUUUUUGCAUUCAGGAAGACGGUCAAUUACAGGUAAGGAAGUGGGAACAUCUCUAUGAGACAAUAAUUCGUUUGGUGGAAGACACACGAUUUGUCCUGAGUCACAAAGAGGUUCUUGCAUACAUAACUCAUGAGAGACCUGAUAUUUCAAGAGCUUGGCUGAAGCUUUUAUCUCUUGUGCAAGGCAUGGAUCCCCAAAAGAGAGUAACAACUACCCCUAUUGAAGAAGAACAUGAGUAUCUUUCUGCACCUUUCGUGCUGGGACAUUUCCUAAGCAAAGUUCAUAAUCUUUUGGUGCAAGGAGCAUUUUCUGCUUUCGAAACCAAAGAAAGGAAGAUCACUUCUUUUUCUUGCCCAGAUUCUGAAUGGUUAGAUGAUAACGAAGGUUAUCGUCAUUCAAAAGUAGGCAGAAUUUCACAAGACAGCUCUGCUUGCAGUAUAAAUAGAACAAGCAGUGGAUUGGAUGGCUCAUCCCAACAUAGUGAUGUGAAGUACGGUGGUGUUGACCACCUAUCUGUUCCAUCACCUGCUAUUUGGUUGAUUUUCGAGUGCCUUAAAGCAAUUGAUGACUGGUUCUGCCAUGCAAGGAACAUAUCACUCUUUGUUGAUGAUAUGAACUACAGUAGUCUUAGUUGUUUUAGAAAGAAAUUAUUCAAGUCAAAAAAGGGUGCGAAUAGUAGCAAAAUUUUUGGGUUGUCUGUGUCUAGGCAGGGAGUAGAUAAGCAUCAGUCACUUCCUUCUGGUGAGCACCAUGAGGUCUCUGAUUUAAUGGACACCGACGGAUGCCUUGAACAUACAACUUCAAGUAGGAUAUCAGAUGAUAGUAUCGUGGAGGUAGAUUCUGGUGCUGAAUCAGAAGCAUUUGGUAUGUUAAAUAUUGCCGAUUGGCCUGACAUAGUUUAUGAUGUUAGUUCACAGGAAAUAUCAUUUCACAUUCCUUUACAUCGUUUGCUUUCAUUAAUAUUGCGAAAAGCGAUGGAAUAUUGUCACAAUGAGAUUGAAAAGCCAGAGAAGGCAAGUAGUGGCUUAUCACUUCCUUCAUCAGCAUGGGGUCAUGAGUUUUUUGGGCAAGUUUUGAAAGGCUUACAACCUUGUGGAUUUUCGGCCUUUCUGAUGGAGCAUCCUCUUCGGUUACGUGUGUUUUGUGCCCAAGUACGUGCUGGCAUGUGGCGCAGGAAUGGUGAUGCAGCCAUAUUUAACUCUGAGUUUUAUCGUGCUGUCCAGUGGUUUAAUCAAGGGCUAGAAUCUGAUCUUUUCUUGCUGCAAUGCUGUGCUGCAUUAGCUCCACCAGAAUUGUUUGUCGAGAGAAUUCAAGAAAGAUUUGGAUUAGUAAAUUAUACAUCUUUGAGUCUUUCAGAGUGCAAUGAGUAUGAGGCAGUUCUGGUGCAAGAGAUGCUUACUCUUAUCAUACAGGUUGUCAAAGAGCGCCGGUUUUCUGGCCUUUCUUCUGUUGAUAAUUUGAAGAGAGAAUUAGUUUAUAAACUCACUGUUGGUGAUGCCACCCGUAGCCAUCUGGUGAAGGCUCUUCCUCGUGAUCUUUCAAACAGUGAUCAACUUCAAAAUGUUCUGGAUAUGCUUGCCACAUAUUCGAAUCCAUCUGGCAUGAAGCAGGGUAAAUAUUCUCUUCGAAAAGCUUACUGGAAAGAGUUGGACCUGUAUCACCCUCGCUGGAAUUAUAGGGACUUGCAAGUGGCAGAGGAGAGAUAUUUUCAGUUCUGUAAAGUCUCUGCUCGAAACGUCCAGUUGCCACAAUGGACGAACAUUUAUAUUCCCUUGAAAACAAUUUCUAGAAUAGCUACAUCAAAAGCAGUCCUCAAAAUUGUCCGUGCAGUUUUCUUUUAUGCUGCAUUUGUGGAUGUUUCACUUGCAUCUCGUGCUCCUGAUGGAGUUCUUAUAACAGCUUUACACUUACUUUCUCUUGCUUUAGAUAUUUGUGGCUCACAGAGUCAAACACGUAGUACUAAUUAUGGUUCUGGUAUUGAUUUGUCACAUCCUGACCACUCAUUCAUGGAAGUUUCACAUUAUGUGGAAGAUUUACCUCCUAUACUGGCUCAUGCUACUGAACAACUUGACAUAGCUGCACAUGGUGAAUCAGCAUUGUGCAAAAACCAAAGCAUGUUAUCCUUGCUAGUUUUACUGAUGAGGAAAUACAAGAAAGAAAGUGACAGUCAUUAUUCUGAGACGAGGCAUUGUAACAUUUCAUUACUCGUCGAGACAUUAGUGAAGAAAAUUGCUGAACUGAACAUCGAUUGCUUGGUUAUGCUUCAAAGAAUAGCACCAGAAGUGGUCUAUCAUAUGCGUAAGCAGCCUGCAGAAGAUGCUCCAGAGAGGUCAGCAUCAGCUUCUGACGCUGAAGAGCGGCGGGCAAAAGCCCGAGAGCGACAGGCCGCUAUAAUGGAAAAAAUGAGAGCUGAACAAUCAAGAUUCAUGGCCAGUUUGAAGUCAACACCUAACAGUGAGGCAGAUGGCUCGAUAUCCAAAGAGGAAAAGUUAGACCACGAGGACAAUGUUUCUGAGGAAUCAGCAAUUGUUUGCUCUUUUUGUCGAGAUCCACACUCCCAAAGUCCUUUGUGUUUCCUGAUUCUUCUCCAGAAAUCCUGUCUUACAACUUUUGUUGAGAGAGCUCCUCUGUCCUGGGAAGAUGUCGGCCAGCAAAACGAAAUUCCUUCAACUGGUAUAGAAGGAUCAAAUGGUCCAGGUGGAUCUGAUUCAAAAAAUAUAGUGCAGUCAAUUCAGAAUGUAGGUGUUGAAUUCCCCUUUGACAUGGAACCUGCAGAAGUUGAUAGGUCUUUGGUCUUUCUGAAUGAACAACUGCCUGCUUUUAGAAACAUUCAACCACUUGAUGUCUUUCCUGGUACUGACACAGAACUUAGUGCAUCCCUUGAGAGUAUGGAGGAUGAUAUUUACCGGUCUAUUAUAAGGGAUAUGCACAAUUCUAAAUCUAUUUUAGAUACUCUGGAUGCUGAAAAGAAAUAUUUAACCAAGGAUGCUGUAUUGGGUUCAAGAAAAGGAAGCAUUGCAGAAUUUUUUGCGCUUGGCGAGUAUGUUUUAAGUCUAUCAAGAGAGUCCAAACAAAAUCACUCUUUCAUUUUUGGCCCUCAACGCAUUGUGAAUUUAGCAUCAAGGUCAACUGCUUCAAGUACUACGAUUAGUGGAUUUGGUCCAAGUGAUUGUGAUGGAAUUCAUAUUUCUUCUUGUGGGCAUGCUGUGCAUCGGGAAUGCCAUGAUAGAUAUCAGGUGUCUUUGAAGCAAAGAUACAUUGGGAAUCUUGGCUUUGAAGGAAGUCAUAUUGUGGAUCCUGACCUGGGAGAGUUACUUUGUCCAGUAUGCCGGAGAUUUGCGAACGCCAUCCUCCCAGCAUGCACUGGUUUCUCCAAUAAACUUUCAACGACAAAAGAAUCAGCCUUCAGCAGUUCAAUGCCAAAUGACGUUCCUUCAACCUCAUCAGAUAUGAACUGUAGCAACUUACACAUUGUUCUUGCAUCAUCUCUUCUUCAAAAUACAGCAAAAAUUGUUGGACAGUGCAGAAAUCUAAAGGUUUUGUCUGGAAAAAUUAAUGAGACCAUGAAUUCAGUUUUAGAGCCUUCCCUCAGAAAAUUGUAUAUGCUGUAUUAUUCUCACAGUUACAGUAGUUUGUCAGCCCCUGGUUGGCUCAGUCGAUCCUUAAUUCUAUGGGACACACUUAGGUACUCAGUUACAGCUACAGAAAUUGCUGCCCGGGCAAAGUUGAACACAAAUUCACUUGGAUCUCAAUCUUGCUUAGAAUCUUUGACUGAGGAACUUCGCUCUUCUAGUGGGUAUAUAAUGUCAGUUCUGGUCCAUGUUGCUCAGUCUGCUGGCAGUUCUAAUUGUCUUGAAGUUCUCUUGAGGUUCAGCAGUCUUCAACUUCUAGCAGGGUCUAUUUGUUCUGGUGUGUCCGGUGAUAAUUACUUGUCCAAUGGAGAUAAGCAAAAAGGCACAACUUCUUCCUCGUUUGAAUGUUAUGACAAUGGGGAAGCUUUUCCUGACAUACAAUUCUGGAAACGUGCUGCGGAUCCUAUUCUUGCUCAUGAUCCUUUUUCUUCUUUUAUGUGGGUUCUUUUCUGCCUCCCAGCCCCUUUUAAAGCCUCAAGAGAAUGUUUCAUUGCUCUUGUGCAUUUAUUUUAUGCUGUUUGCAUUGUUCAGGCUAUGAUUACAUGCUAUGGCAAUCAAAGUUUUGAUGUAUCAAGUUUUGGCAGCAACGUUCUUAAUGAUGUUUGCAGGACAAUGGCAGAAUCCGACCGUGUGAGACAGUAUUUUGUCUCCAGCUAUAUUGAUCACCUUUACCAUCCGAAGGAUAUGAUACGCAGACUAACAUUUCCAUACCUUCGUAGAUGUGCACUACUUUGGAAUUUGCUAAACUCUUCAACAUUGUCCCUGUCAUAUGACAGUCACACAUGGGAAAGGUCAUAUCUUUGUUCAAAAGAUGUACAAUUGGAUAGUGAUAGCCAACUAAGAGUAGAGCUCAAUAAUAUAAGGGAAUUGGAGGACAUGUUUAUGAUUUGCUCAUUGGAAUUGGUUCUCAAGAAUGAGGUUGUGCAUGCCUUGGCUUUGAGAUGGUGUGACCAUUUCUGUGAUGAGUUUGGAGUUCGUAAGUACAGAGGCGUUUUAGCUUCAUCUCCUGCUGUUCCCUUUAAGCUGAUGGAACUUCCUCUCAUCUAUCAGGAUCUACUGAAAAAGUACAUAAAGCUACCAUGCUCUAAUUGCAAGUCUGUCCCAGAGGAACCUGCUUUGUGCUUGCUUUGUGGUAAAUUAUGUUCGCUAUACCGGAAGUCUUGCUGCAGGCAAAGCAAAUGCUUAAAUCAUGCAAUGAUCUGUGGGGCUGGUAUUGGUGUAUUCUUGCUGGUCAGGAAAACCACAAUCUUAUUGCAGAGGUCAGCUCGUCGGACCCUCUGGCCAUCUCUUUAUUUGGAUGCCUUUGGUGAAGAGGACCAUGACAUGUCCCGAGGGAAGCCUUUGUAUCUGAGCAAGGAGCGCUAUGCUGCUCUUACAUAUUUGGUGGCAUCUCAUGGUCUCGACCGGAGUUCUGAAGUGCUUCGACAAACGACCACCAACUUAAAUGGUCUUUAUUAGGAUUAUUUUAAGAGGAGCCAAUGAUGGUGCAGCAUGAGAAUCGUAUGUAUCAGCAGGGCCCUUUUUUCCAAUAAUUAAUUACUACUGAGCAGUGGCAGUGGGCAUACAUCACAUUGCUGCAGGUCUUCUGUGAAGAAGAUGAAGAGAAGUGGCUAGGAAAGAAGCUGAUGGAUCUGUCAAUCAUUGUCACUGGAAUGCUGCUGUCAUCAGGCUUUGCUGUUGGGCAGGUUCCAUUAUGAUGUGCCAUCAAAAAGAGAUCAGGGAUUCAACUGUGCAAGUCUGAAAGAGAAAGAUGUGAGAGAUUUAACUCCCAUGAAGUAAGUGAUUUGAAUUCCAAGAAUUUCUCUUUUCAUGUAAAAGAAAAGAAGAGAAGGAAAAAGAAAAGGGGAAGACAAUGAGAAAAUGAAGAGCAAACUAAAGGAAUAAUUAGAGAAUGAAAAGAAGAGAAAGGAAGAAAUAAAAAAUGAACAAAAGAGGAAACACAUCUUAAAAAGUAGCUGUAAUAAUUACUGUUCAUUGUUAAUUUAAAAUUCUGUAAUACUUAAAUUUUCCUGAUUCAUAGGUUUAUUUAUGGGUGUUUUCCAAACUUCUUCCUACCUUUGUACUGUUAGAACUUGCCACACUCAUCGUCAUUUGCAGCCACCACUGCACUUGUAUCAGCUUUUGGGAACUAAGGCUUAGCUAAGUGAUUUUGAGGGCAACAAAAUUUGAGGUUAGAAAAUAAAUACUCUGUAGAAAAGCAUAUCUUAUCUUGGCACACUUUCAAUUUGGGUCUUGCAAUUUAUGUGAGCUAAUUUUUUUUACAAAUAAUAUAAUAAUGUUUAACUUAAUUGGAGUUAGUGAUGAUAUAGUAUUGAGAUCUUUUGUGUUUUGAUGGAUUACAAGUGGGUAAUGUGCAAUUUUUGGUCUAGCUAGAAUAUUUGGGUCAUGUUAGGGCAUGGUAUAUUUAGAUUUUAAUAAUAUGGUCGUGCUCUUUUUGGUUUUUCUUUUUAUUUUCUUCAUAUUUUUAUUUUUUGACGAUUGAUGGAAAAAUGUUUAACAGAAUUGGAGUUAACAUCGAUUUAAUAUUGAGAACUUUUGCGUUUUGAUGAAUUACAAUUGGGUCAUGUUUGAUUUGGUCUAGCUAGUAGAUAAGGGUCGCAUUAGGGCAUGGUUUUUCUUUUACAAUUGUCCUUUUUAGUUGUCCCUUGGCACUUCUAUGGUGGGUCAGCAAGUUCUUCGUUGCACAUUUUCCAAUUUAUUCCUUUUUUUAAUCUGUAGCCACAAAGUAUUCAUGGUGCUGUUUGUGGAAAUAAUUAAAAGAUAACAGCAUGUAACUGUUUGGCAUCAGAACUGCAGUGAUUAAGAUAAUAUAGGUUUCUGUCAUAUGGAAGAUAAUUGGUGUCAAGGAAGCAAAUAUGGUUACAUUUUCAAAUAAGCUUUCGAUGCCUUGAUUCACAACAGAUCCUGAAUUGGUGGGAGCUUCAUGCAGUAGGGAUGCUGUUUACAGUAUCCCUUGUACAAUGUGUGUGAAAGUAGUUAGUUGGCAAGAACCUAGAUAAGUUGCAAAGCACUUUCUUUUUUGGUGAACUAUGCAUAUGAGUAUUUGCUUUGAAGAGAAUAUUGGAACAAUAGUGCAAAAAUAUUUUGUUAAGAAAAUAUCUAAAAUCUUGUUUACAGCUGUGCAGUGUUUAAUUAAACAAUUUUGUUGUUUUGAGCUUUUACUUAAUCAAGCUGGAAAUUUUCAUUUUUGUGCCCCCAAAAAAAAAAAAAUCUAAGUCUUGCUUUUACUGCUGCUCAGAACUAUACAAGUAUAUAAGUUAUAGUUUUGGUAUAUAUUCAGCAUGACCAAAUGGUGAAAUUAUGACAAAUUUCUAGGGUUGUCUUUUCAUUUUUGACUCAAAUACUAUCUUGUAACAUAUACUAGUAAUUCCAUUUUUUUUAAUUUUUCUUUAUGAUAUGAUGUUAUGGGUCCAGAGUGUGGAAAUGAUGGUGAUUUCGUUCACUGAUCUAAGCUAAAUUAAUGUACUCUUGUGCUGGAGCUCAUCUGUGUAAUAUCUACCCUUUUUCUUUUAAGAGAAAGGUUCAGUAAUGGUGUAUGGACAAAUAUGUGAGCCAACAAGCUAAGGCGACUCUUAUCUACUAUUUAUGUUAUGAACUUUUCCCCCCUUUUCUGUUAAUUUGCUAUAAGACAUAUUGGUGUUAUUUCUGAACUGUAGAACUAUCUCGUUUGAUUUCCACAUCAAGCCUUUGUUGACCUUGAAAUCUCGUGAUUCAACUAGUUACCAGCUUGAUGCAGCAGCUUCUCCUAAUUGUUACAAUUGCUUGCUUAGUUACCAGCUUGUCCUAAUUGUUUACCUUGCCUUGGAUGCCUCUCUUCUCUCCAAAGAUUGGCCACUUGGUUCUGCAGUGCAGUCCUCAUGUUUGAUGCCUUCCAUGGGUGAUUUGUGGUGUCUUGGUUGCCCUGCUAAUGCCGACCGUGCCAUUGUUCUCCUGCAGUUCAAGCUAGCACAGAUUGCAAUACUGCUUGUGCAUAUCUUUUUCUAAGCAGCUUUUGUUGCUUGUAAAUGAAAGGGAUGUUUGGGUUGAUAAUGUAUACAUCAUGUGUAGAUCGUAAAUCCGGAUGAUGAUGAACUUGUAGCGUAACAAGUGACGAGUAUGGGAUUAUGGAAUUGUUAAUAGAGCUUCUUGUGCCUUUUUUUUCUGCUAA